GGAGAGGGACAGGGAAGCUAGGGCGACCGAGGAUUCACCGAGAUCUAAUCCGGCUUGGCCCCGCGAGUUUGAGAGCUUUGCGAGCCGCGGGCCUGGGAAGUCAGGGCUUGGGGGCCAGGCCUGCCCUCCGGUGCUUUCAGCUCCCCGGGUCCCCGACUUUAAAGUACUCAAGUUGGGGUCGGCGCCAUCAUGACGCCUGAGACUGAAGAAAAUUUUAGUUACAAGUGAUAGAAGAAAUAACUCACUCAAGAACCUGAAGAAAGGAGCAGAGCUUCUAGUGUGGGAUGCUGAGACUGCCUCACUGUGAAGGAUGUUCCCUGUCCAUUCUGAUAAGAGGGGGGCUGCACAGCUUGGAUAGAUUCAUGUCUCUUACUUGGAUCCUAUAACAUCUGGAUACAGUGUGGGAAAUAAUGUUUAUACAUGAUUUCACAUUACUGUUAGACAAGAAGAAACUAUUAGGGCAGGACAGCAUGAGCCAGAAUCAACUGUAUCAUCGGAAUAUGUAUUUUAGCAACUGACUCCUCUAUGAAAGCAACAGUAAAUUAACAGAGUUCCAAGGUCAAACAACUCAAGAUUCUGUUAGUAAUUAGUUGUCGUAAUGUAUUCAUUGAUUUGACUGUCCGGAAGGAUACCUAGACAUCUGGUAAAACGUGGAUUCUGAGUAUGUCCUUCAAGUUGCUUGAGGAAAGGUUCACAUCUGCGUUAGAGGGCUUCUUCUCCAGCACCUUGCCAUGUUUCCCACCAUGACCCUCUGAAUGUGUGAGCUAAGAAGUCACUGAGUUCUUCAUCUCGGGGUAUAUUGGCUUGCGAAUUUAUUGUCUGCAACUCAGAACUUCAAGUAGCUAUGUUUACCAGAUAUUAUAGUGGUUUGAAUGAGUAUGGCCCCCAUAGACUCUCGUAUUGGAAUGAUUGGUCACAGAAACGGGAACUAUUAGAAGAGAGAAAUGCACCAAAAACCUUCUGGUGGAGUGUUACAGUUUCUUGCCAUUUCCAUGGACUUGGGAUGAUUGGAUGCAUGUGCUGAGGCAAGACCAGUGUGUCUCUCAUCUUCACUGAUCUUCGCUUCCUUGAGAGAGGCACAGCCAAAAACUUCUCCUGAUGUUCCUGUUGGUCCCUCCUGCUGACUCAAGCCAAGGCUGAGGCCUGGCUGUAUCCGCAAAGUCUAGUCAUCACUGUUGCUAACCAGACUCUACCAAACUGGACUGCUGAUGUAUCCAUAAAGUGUUUGCGAGUGGAGCGAGCUGCUGCUGCCAUCCUGUGAACUGAAUUGCUGAUUUCCAGACAACACAGAUGGGAAUUACUCCAAAGAACCUUUCUAAACAGGUCCACUUCCUCCUCGCCCCACUCCAUCCUUUCUUUCCCACUAUCUCUAGUGGGUGAUGGGCUACAGGGAGAUUAAAGCAUUUAAGAACCACUAAAAAUAAAGUUUGAAAUAAAAA